UACAGAGGCCGCGAGCGUUAGGCGGAAUCACUGGGCUUAAAGGGUGCGUAGGUGGUCGUUUAAGUCCGUUGUGAAAUCCCUGGGCUCAACCUGGGAAUGGCAGUGGAUACUGGACGGCUAGAAUGCGGUAGAGGGUAGUGGAAUUCCCGGUGUAGCAGUGAAAUGCGUAGAGAUCGGGAGGAACACCAGUGGCGAAGGCGGCUACCUGGACCAGCAUUGACACUCAAGCACGAAAGCGUGGGGAGCAAACAGG
rnacentral:rRNA from 1 species